UACAGAGGGGGCAAGCGUUGUUCGGAAUUACUGGGCGUAAAGGGCGCGUAGGCGGCCUUCUAAGUCGAACGUGAAAUCCCCGGGCUCAACCCGGGAACUGCGUCCGAGACUGAAAGGCUCGAAUCCGGGAGAGGGAUGUGGAAUUCCAGGUGUAGCGGUGAAAUGCGUAGAUAUCUGGAGGAACAUCGGUGGCGAAGGCGGCAUCCUGGACCGGCAUUGACGCUGAGGCGCGAAAGCCAGGGGAGCAAACGGG
rnacentral:rRNA from 1 species